rnacentral:rRNA from 1 species
AGUGAACGCUGGCGGUAGGCCUAACACAUGCAAGUCGAACGGCAGCACAGUAAGAGCUUGCUCUUACGGGUGGCGAGUGGCGGACGGGUGAGGAAUACAUCGGAAUCUACUUUUUCGUGGGGGAUAACGUAGGGAAACUUACGCUAAUACCGCAUACGGCCUACGGGUGAAAGCAGGGGGUCUUCGGACCUUGCGCGAUUGUAUGAGCCGAUGUCGGAUUAGCUAGUUGGCGGGGUAAAGGCCCACCAAGGCGACGAUCCGUAGCUGGUCUGAGAGGAUGAUCAGCCACACUGGAACUGAGACACGGUCCAGACUCCUACGGGAGGCAGCAGUGGGGAAUAUUGGACAAUGGGCGCAAGCCUGAUCCAGCCAUACCGCGUGGGUGAAGAAGGCCUUCGGGUUGUAAAGCCCUUUUGUUGGGAAAGAAAAGCAGCAGGUUAAUACCCCGCUGUUCUGACGGUACCCAAAGAAUAAGCACCGGCUAACUUCGUG